rnacentral:piRNA from 1 species
UACACCUGAGAAUUGCCAGCUAGAAACGGU